UCGAGAAUCUUCCGCAAUGGGCGAAAGCCUGACGGAGCGACGCCGCGUGGAGGACGAAGGCCCUUGGGUUGUAAACUCCUGUCACGGGUUAUGAAUCGGUUAGUGUUAAUAGCACUGGUUCUGACGUAAGCCCGAGAGGAAGCACCGGCUAACUCUGUGCCAGCAGCCGCGGUAAUACAGAGGGUGCAAACGUUGUUCGGAAUCACUGGGCAUAAAGCGCACGUAGGCGGUCCUGUAAGUGUGAAGUGAAAGCCCACGGCUCAACCGUGGAACUGCUUUGCAUACUGCAGGACUCGAGGACGGUAGGGGAGAGCGGAACUCCUGGUGGAGCGGUGAAAUGCGUAGAUAUCAGGAGGAACACCGAUGGCGAAGGCAGCUCUCUGGUCCGUUUCUGACGCUGAGGUGCGAAAGCCAGGGUAGCGAACGGGAUUAGAUACCCCCGUAGUCC
rnacentral:rRNA from 1 species